ensembl:lncRNA
AACACGGGGGUGGGGAGUGAUAGGAACGAGCUGAGUCCUCCGUCCCGCAACUGGAGGGCGCGGCGACACGAGGUCCCUCCGGGGUCAUCCCCGACCCCCCUUAGGUUUGUGAGCCCCUCUGCGUGGAUUUAAAAAUAUGUACAUUUUAAAAACCAUUGACUUGUCAAGCCCCGCCAGAGGCCCAGACUCCCCCGCAGCCGGAGCUGCUGAGAUGUCUGUUCUUCGCUUCCCUCCCACUCCUACCACCUCCAGCUCCCCUCCUCCUCCCUUCCGUUGAGAACAAGGAAUUUCCAGCCCUUAGCAAAUGGAGAGAGAAACAAAAAGACCAAGAUUAAGGGAAACUACGGAAAAACAACAAAGAGACAGGUGAGGGAUGAUUGACAAAGAGGUGCAUCAAAUUAAAAAAAUAAUUUCUUCUCUUUUUCUCCUUGAUAUAGGACUUCCCUGGUGGCUCAGACGGUGAAACGUCUGCCUACAAUGCGGGAGACCUGGGUUCAAUCCCUGGGUCGGGAAGAUCUCCUGGAGAAGGAAAUGGCAACCCACUCCAGUAUUCUUGCCUGGAAAAUCCCAUGGACGGAGGAGCCUGGCAGGCUACAGCCCAUGGGGUCACAAAGAGUCGGACAGGACUGAGCAACUUCACUUUCACUUUUCUCCUUGAACCCGGUUUUCCCCAGGGUGGCUCAAGGCGGCUUCUCUACUGGGCUCACCUGCUUACCCCCUCCUUCCUGGGCUGUGUUCUCAGAGGGACACAGAGCUGAGCGCUGUGAAGAGCGGAGACUACUCUCUAGUUGCGGAGCUCGGGCUUCUCAUUGCAGUGGCUUCUCUUGUUUCGGAGCACAGGCUCUGGAGCGCAGGCUCAAUAGUUGGGGUGCACCAGCCUGCUGCUCCACAGCAUGUGGGAUUUUCCCAGACCAGGAGUCAAACCCACGGCUCCUGCAUUGGCAGGUGGAUUCUUGACUACUAAGCCACCAGAUUGGUAACAAAAUUUGGACAAGAUGGUUGGAUGGCAUCACCGACUCAAUGGUCAUGAAUUUGAACAAGCUCUGUGACAUGGUGAAGGACGGGGAAGCCUGGAUUGCUGUAGUUCACAGGGGUCACAAAGAGUCGGAUACAACUGAGCGACUGAACAACAAAAAUAACAACAAACUUUGAGUGGCACUGUUGUAGUUAAAAUUUGUUUCUUUUAUUUAAGUGAUAAGCAUAUGAGGUACUCUGUGAGCACAGAGGAUGGCCUUGUUUGUGUUUUUAUUUAUUUGGCUGUGUUGGGUCUUGUUUGCAGCACUUGGGAUCUUCAUUGCAUCAUAGGGGAUCGUUCACUCUGGGCAUGAACUCUCUAGUUGUGGCUUAUGGGCUAAGCUGCUCUGUGCCAUGUAGGAUCUUAGUUCCUCAACCAGGCAUCAAACCUGUGUCCCCUGUAUUGCAAGGUGCAUUCUUAACCACUAGACUACCAGGAAAGUCCCCAAAUUUGUUUCUAUACAUCUGUAUUUAGGUGAUAUUAGGACCGUGGGCCAUAAAGUAUCACAGGAGAUACCAUGGAACCAUAAAGACUUUUACAUGGGAGUGACAUGGUCAGAUCUGUAUUUAGGAGUGGUAUGGAGAAAAGGUUUUAUGGAUGUUAAAACUGCAGAGAGGCCAACUUGAAGGAAACAGAAGUGCUCUGAGAAAGAUGGCAAGGUGCUAGACUAAAUCACUGGUGCUGGAGAUGGAGAGGAAAGGACAGAUUUAAAAGAUAGUCAUCGGGGCUUCCCUGGUGGCUCAGAGGUAAAGAAUCCACCUGCCAAUGCAGGAGCCAUGGGUUCUAUCACUGACCCACAUGCUGCAGGGCGACUAACCUUGCUCUGCAACUACUGAGCCCGUGUUGAAGAGCCUAGGAGCCACAACUACUGAAGCCGCAGGGCCCUAGAGGCUGUGCUCUACAAGAGAAGCCUCUGCAGGAAGCCUACACACAGCAACUAGAGCAUAGCCCCUGUUCGCUGCAACUAGAGAAAAGUCCACACAGCAAUGAAGACCCAGCAUAGUGAAAACUCCAAUACAUAGAGAAUUAUUUUUCAAAAAAAACUUAAAAAAAUCAUCAUUGGGUAAUAUGAAUAGGAUUUGAUGAUUGGCUAAAGGGUUGGGCGAAGAGAAGAGUUUAGAGUAAUUCUCAGGCUUCUGGCUUGGGUGACUGAGUGGAUACAAAGGAGCAUUGUCAUCAGAUAGGCACCAUCUGCAGUCUUUUUCCUAAGUUAAGAAAGUUACGAAAACCAAAAAUUUUCAUAUCUCUUUUGACUACAAAACCUAAU